CGGAGAUAAGGGGACCUCGAGUGCCAGGUUACAAAUCUGGCUGUCGUGAUGCAUAAAAAGCAUUGCAUAGCAAGGGCCGGGCAAGACCGGUGCCAGCCGCCGCGGUAACACCGGCGGCUCGAGUGGUAACCGUUAUUAUUGGGUCUAAAGGGUCUGUAGCCGGCCGGAUAAGUCUCUUGAGAAAUCCAGCAGCUCAACUGUUGGGCUUUCGGGAGAUACUGUUCGGCUCGAGGCCGGGAGAGGUGAGAGGUACUUCAGGGGUAGGGGUGAAAUCUUGUAAUCCUUGAAGGACCACCAGUGGCGAAGGCGUCUCACCAGAACGGACCUGACGGCAAGGGACGAAAGCUAGGGGCACGAACCGGAUUAGAUACCCGGGUAGUCCUAGCCGUAAACGAUACUCGCUAGGUGUCGGCCACGGUGCGACCGUUGUCGGUGCCGUAUGGAAGCCGUGAAGCGAGCCACCUGG
rnacentral:rRNA from 1 species